GCAAGUCGAACGGAAGUCGUCAUAAUGAUUUUGAUAUGGAUUUGAAGAUUAUCUGAUUUGAAAUUGAAGAUGACUUAUGACAAUGGCUUUAGUGGCGGACUGGUGAGUAACGCGUAAGCAAUCUGCCUAUUAGAGGGGAAUAACAGUGAGAAAUCACUGCUAAUACCGCAUAUGCCAUAGUUAUCGCAUGAUAAUAGUGGGAAAGGAGUAAUCCGCUAAUAGAUGAGCUUGCGUCUGAUUAGCUAGUUGGUGGGGCAACGGCCUACCAAGGCAACGAUCAGUAGCCGGACUGAGAGGUUGAACGGCCACAUUGGGACUGAGAUACGGCCCAGACUCCUACGGGAGGCAGCAGUCGGGAAUAUUGCGCAAUGGAGGAAACUCUGACGCAGUGACGCCGCGUAUAGGAUGAAGGUUUUCGGAUUGUAAACUAUUGUCGUUAGGGAAGAUAAAAGACAGUACCUAAGGAGGAAGCUCCGGCUAACUACGUGCCAGCAGCCGC
rnacentral:rRNA from 1 species